UUUAGUGUAAGAGUCAAAAAGUUAAUUGCUCAGUUGCAGGAAUCUUAGAUAAAAGUUUGUUCAGUAACUAUAAUUCACUGCAGCCUACCAGAAGCUUGCAAGUAAAUAACUUUACACCAAAGUCCUUCUACUGCCCUCUGAUGACUCACAAGUAACAGAAGGUUUUUGAAGCAAAAGAAGAGAUUGUCUUAUUAUGAGACAGUGUGAUUUAUUCCAAUCAAAGGUGGCGUCAUUUCUGUUCUCUUAUAUCUGCAAGAGUCCAUUUCAAGAACAUCCUAUAAGCUUGGGCUGAAGUUUUCAAAAAACAAUGCUUUGCCUCUCAACUCCCUGCUCCUUUUUGCCAGUGAUAUACCCUAAAUGCCACAGCCAUAUUGCUAACAACGUACGUUUUUCUGUACUUAGCAGAAGAUCAAGAGCCUUUAAUAUAAUGUCCAGAAGUGAUUGCAUUAUAUCCUUCCUUACGUGUCCCAUAAACUGAAAUGUCAUCUCCAUAAACUUCCACUCCCCUUAGGCCCUCUGGGCAGCAUCAUUUCCCUUCCGUCCGGAGGUCUGCAGAAGAAGUAACUCCCUAGCAGCCCUAUGCAAUUUGUCUCCCGUUAUCACCAAGCUGGACAAGAACUUUGGGCAAGAUGUGGGCUGCACCCCAUCAGGGCUAUAUUGACAUAUCAGAUAUGGCACAGAUGGAGCCCAAGAACCAAGCAAGCAGUCUUGAGGCUCAGCUUAUUCCCUUCCCUGUUGCAUAGUUAGGCACAUUUUUCUUCUUACCCAACAAUAGGAUUUUGUGGGGACCUGUGGGGUUGUGCACACAGUGUGUUACCAUCUUCCACAGUAACCCCCUUGAAUCAUGUGCUUUUUACAAAGCCAAGACCCAAGGAUUUCCCUGUGCACUGACAGACCUAGCCUUGGAUUACCAGGUUACAAAGACAUCACUCAUAUCCUCUUUGCUUUUGUAGCAUGUACGGGCUCUGAAUGGAUCUAGACAACUGAUUUGUCACCUUGAGCAGGUGCACUUUUGUGCCUUUACAAAUCCCAGCCACCUCUGCCCUGGAAUCAAUGUGAAAUUUAACAACUGUAUUGCAGACCUUAAAAAUAACAGUCUAGACUUGUUCAUGAAUGCCUGCUUUGGACAUUGAACUCAGAAAAUAGCACAACCUUUAUCUAAGCACAGAGUCAGAUGCCAUUCCAGCACCUUCAUCUUCAAUGAUGUCCCUGUCCUGGUGUAACAGACUUGGCCCGAAUGAAACAGCAAGCAGCACAGCAAAGUUGUACCAGAGAAGAAAUCGAGAACGGAACUUUCCUUCUUUGAAAGAAUGCCAAAAGCUUUACUAUUCAUGUCCAGCACGAUCAGGCAUUAUUAUUAAUACAUCAUGACUACCUUGAGGCUCAUCUUAAACAGUACAAGGCAGUGCCCUGCAGAAGCAGUUCAGAAAUAGAAAUGAGAAGUGAAGAGCAUGACUCGCAGUAUUUUGUGCAAGGAUCACACAGCCUGACCUUCAGGUCUGGCUUUCCAGUGAGCCCUACCAACAACAGCUCAGCCAGCCUCAGACAUGUAUGGAAGCAUGCCUGGGCUCACUUCUGGCAGAGUAUCAGUGGAGCCAGCUCCAUAAGCUGGCACACAGCAUCUCUGGCUGUGACAACAUGGGAGCAGAAGCAGGAUGAUGGUGCUGUGCAUGGAUCCAGUGUUUCACUUUUUCAGAGAGGAGUCUUGAGAAAUGACAGUGCAUUUGCCAACCUUGCUUCAGACUCUCCAGGCAGGAUGUGCUCACAAAAGAAUGGGUAGAUCUCAGCAGGCCCAGGAAGUCAGGAAAGCAUCAAUUUCAGACAUUGUUGGACUGAUAUUCUUUGUCCUGGCUUUUUUAUCCACACCUGUCACCAUCUUCUUUGUCAAGGAAAAUGGAGGUAAUAUCAUCAUCAGGCUAUAUGCAGCACACUGGCAAUGAGAAAAUGCAAAGACAAUUGCUAAUGUUAUUUGGUGAUCCCUGGAGAUCUGUGGAUUCAGCAUGCCUACUUCUGGAUGCACAGACCCUCAGAUCUACUCCAGAGGAGUGGGACAUAGCUUAGAAGUACCCAGGUUCCAGAAAGAUUUUCAAGCCACACGGUGGAAGCAGAGAAGCCUGAGAGGAUGGCAGCUGUCAGGACGAGAAACCAGGCAACUGAAUGGGGUGCUCAGUUGCAAAAAAAGACAACAGCAGGAAAGAAGGGGGCAUAUGUUUAAAAUACUGCUGUGGAGCUAAAGAUGGGAGUUGUAAGGAAAAGCAGAAAAAAAUAACAAAAAGCUCAUCAACACCCACCUGCCAAGAGUGUCAAUAAAAAUGAUAGGAGCAAAGGCAAAGGAUUAUUUUUUCUCUGCAGCAAGAAGCACAGAUGGGCAAAAGUAUAAAACAAAAGCUUGUAUGAGGUUUUCAUCUGUGCUGCAGUUCCCAAGAAUGAGUGCGCAAGAAAAAUGUUUACGUGAAUUACGUUAAAUGUAAGCAAACUCUGGAUUGGUAUUCAUGAAUAUUCUUAUCAUAAAGACAUCUCAAAUAUUUUUAAAUCCUGUUUGGUUAGUUCUGACGGAGUAGUAAUUUGUAUGGUGAGGUGUGUUAGUGUAAAAUAGGAAUGGAAGUAUGAAGAGUGCUGAGGAGAUUUAUUUUAAAUAUAUAUAUACUUGCCACAGCUCCAUUACAGGAGCUGGGUAAAGUGAUGUCUAAGCUAUGUUUGUAGCAAUUUGGAGAAUUAAAAGGCAUUACCAGUCACUACCAUUUUUUCUGGAAGGCAUUUGUGUUUGUAAUAUACAAAUUUGUACUACUGUCACUGCUGUGAUCCCAUUUGUGCAAAUAUUCAAUGAAUAUGACACAAAGUUUCUGCCAGCAUCCAGUCAUCAUGCUGCUGAUGAACACUAUCCAUGCUUUCAGUAACUGAGAACAUAGUAUUUUUAAAGCUGAUUGAAAACAAAAUUACAUGGCAGUUACGACCAAGCCAUAUAGUAGUACCUGACUUCUAUAACUGUACUCUUAGAGUUUGGUUCUAUCAUUUAAGGAAGUGUCAUUGAGGGAAACAAUAUUGUGAACAUAAUAAAAUUCCAGCAAGAUAAAGACUGUGAAUGGACCAUCUCUGCAGCCUCCAAAGUCAGGAAGAAUUGGUAAGUCUUUUCUGUCUUUGUGAAGUGCACAGUAAAGCAGGACUCAACCCCUGGGUCAACCCAUGAGCCUGGACUUGCAUCCUUACUGACUCAUUAGAGUCAGUAUGUGCACUGCAUAUCAUUAUAUAGAUGCUGAAGCAAACUAUUUGUUCAGUUUUGUUCAGAUUUCUCAAGAGGAAUGAGCAGUUUUGAGGCUAGAAAGACAGCCAGGGGAGUGAUAGCUCAGGACUGAAGCAUGGAGUGAAUCUAACUGACACCAUAAAACACAAAUAGGAACCCAAACUAAACAACAGAAGGAAAUAUCAAAAACUGUCUCUAUUCUGUGGUUGACAGGGUCGUUAGAAGUAGGCUAUAUGCUUUUUUUUAGCUAUAGAUCACAUUCAACAUACUAGUAUGUUCAAGCAUUGUACGUUCAUUCCAAAAGAAGCUGUUCAAGAGAUCUGAAGUUGUCCCCUGAAGGCAGUUUGAGCUCUUUUUCAGUGCAGAAGUUUCCCCAGUAAUUUUCUUCCUUUAGUUUGUGAUUCUGUAGUGGUUGGCUUGGUCAGCAUAUACUGACCAAGCUUCUUUCUUUGUCAUGUUGUUUUGUAAUGAACUCUUAUUUCAGCAUGGGGCCACUUCCCAUCCUGCUUUAUAACACCGGCAUGUGGUAAUUGGCUCCAGGAAGGAGACAAAACAUAUGUUUCCUUAUGGCACUAAUUAAUUAGUCAUAUGUACACUCAAUACUUAAUUGCUAUUGUACGCUCUGGCCUGUGUGACUUCUGUGAAAAUAUCGGACUGUAUACUAAUCUCAAUUAGAAACUCAUGGAAAAGUGAGAAGUGCCUGUAGUUUCUAUGAGCGAGAGAAGCAAAAUUUCACUCAUCAUACUAAUAACACCCAGCGUGUCAUUUUUUUUCUUUUUUUUAAAUCCUUUGCACUAUGCUCAGUACAUUUCUCUAAUGUAACCAAGCCUGGAAGCAUAAAGCAUCUGUGCUCUACUUAAAAAUGCUGAUAUGACAAAGAAAACCUCUUCCUCGUGACUGUUAGUCCUCUUCUGCAGCAUAACAAGUGCUAGUCAACCACAAGUGCUCCUAAGAAUGGCUACUUUUAGUGCUUCUUACCAAUAACAGGCAGAGGUUUUGCCCAUUAAGGGUUUAAUUUUCCAUCUUGCAACAGGGACAACCAUUUGGAGUUUUGCCCAUAUAUUCUGUGCUGAAUUUUUAGGUAUUUAUAACAUUUCUAUGAUACUUACUGCCAUAUUACCGAAGGCUCUCACACUCAUUAAUCUCCAAUAUAAAUUGUUCCUUUGUUCAUUUCUUAGAUGACUUAUAUAAAGACCACAGCCUUUCAAGCAGAAGUUGAGAAUAAAUUAAAAUUUCUUUUUUGCUCAUUACUUUUCCCACUCUAAGUGUUCCUGAAAUAGCCAGUAUAAUUAGAACAAACAAAAAAAUAAAAAGCCACAGAGCUAAAUUUUGCCCUUAAAAAUAUAUAUGGGUAACAGCAAAUUUGGAGGUACUGGAAAGAGUUCAGCACAAGGCCACCAACAUGAUUAAAGGAGUGAAACUUCUUACAUGAAGGAGGGUUGAAUGAAUUGGGGCUCUUCAGCCUGGAGAAAGAGUUGAGGAAGAUCUCUUAGAUGUGUAUCUGUAGAGAGCUGCAAAGAAGACAGAGCCAGGUUUUUUUUUCAGCAGUUCCCAGGUCAAGGACAAGAUGCAAUCGGCAUGAACUGAAGUGACUGAGCACCAGCACAGACUGCUCAGAGCAGUGGUGCAGUCUUUCUUUGGAGAUAUUCAAAAGCUUUCUAAACAUGAUCUUGGGCAACCUGCUGCAGGUGGCUCUGCUUGAGCAAGGGGUUGGAUCAGGCCUCUAGAGUUCCCUUUCAGUUUAAACCAUUCUGUGAACUCUAUGGGGUCCAUAUAUAUAUCUACAAAGACAAAGUACAGAUCAUUUUAUUUUAAAACCAAGGUAAAAUAUUACAUAUCUUUCAAGUUACUGCGCUAGCUUGCUCUGAGUUGUAUGACUGAAGACAAUUGUUAGAGCAAAUUUCUGAUAAUUUUAAAGUUAUUCAGUGCAACAAUCUUACUAACAAAGUAGCAUUAAUCAUAAUCAUUGAGAUUCACUGGAUUUAUGAGUGGAAGCCUGGAUGAAGGAGCAGAAUAAUUAAUGAACACAAAAUACAUCCACAUGUGAGAAUCUGAUAGACAAGAAGGAUGGAAAGUGCAAUGGUGGUCUCCAACCUCAAAUGUCCAUCUCUCUGAGGUCCCAGUCCUCCACUGCAAUGGAAACCUCAGAUUCUUAUGAAGUAGCUGCAGUCCUCAGUCUCUAACCCUGCAUACUAAACAGGCUUCUGUUUUUCUUUACAUAUCAGAGUAUUAUUUUUAUAGCUCAGGAAGCUAAUAGUGAAGCAAAGGAUUGUCCCCGUAAUGAUGGCCAGCUGUAAUGUAUGCUUGGAAAUCUACACAAUAAAAGCCAAAGAAUAUAUACAGAGUGGCAUGAACUGUUUACAACAAAAUCUGAUAUCUGGAAGACAGUAUUGCCUAUCUGAGAGUUAGAUAUUUGAAUCUAAAUUCAAGUUUAUAACUUGAAACUUGAAUCAAGUCAAAAUUUGAUACAGUACACAAAUAUGUAGUGAUCAAAGUAUGACUUUAUGCUAUUCUGUACUAUUGUACCACAUCAUAACAUGAAAAUUGGCAGUUCCCAGUGUUUCCUGAACCUGAAACUUCAAGUAUAACUUAGUGCUUGAGUAACUCAAGCUAGACCUAACUCAUGGCAAUCUUGUAUCUUGUCAUUUACACCUGUGCUAUGAGGAUCGAGUGGAGCAUAGCAAGCUGCUAUUUUUCUCCCACUCCAUACAGAGAUGUAAAUGAAUUCAGCAAAGUGAAGGCUUGUGAAGACAGUGGUGUAAUCUCCAGAAAUAUGAGAGUCAGGAAUAUGAACUCCCAUACUGCUGCAGAAGAUAAAUAGCCUAAGAGAAGCAAAUCAGUGAGGAAGUGUAUAGAAGUGCCCAUGAGAUUAGCAGCAGAAGAGUAGGACCACAAUCUGAAAACAGCUAUAGCAGAAGUUCUGCUAUACCAACAGAAAAUGGUCCAUUUUCUCACCAAUGAUACAUGUCACAGGCAUAGCUGUAGUAUCGUGUCUGAAAUGAAUGUAGCUCAUAGCAUAUUUUCCAUAGAUGUUUGAAUGUAACAUUUUUGCUGCCCAGGAAAAAGAAACUGAAAACACAUCUUGUAAAAGAACACUGCGAGUAUGUACACCUAAAGAAGACACAUCCCAGAGAAAUAAGUGUAGAAAACCUGGGUAUCUAAAGUGCUGGAAGAAACUUAGUGAUAAUCAUGAUAUAGUUAUAUAAAAGUAUUUUAUCACUGUUUUGGCAAUUCUGCCUCUUUAUUGAUCCAAGAAGUAAAACCAAAGUUAAAUUUUAGAAGGUGUUGUGUCCUUAAGAAGUAAUCCAACAAGAACUGAGAAGACCCUGGUUUCACUACAUUGAAAAAAAUAUAUAUCUCUACAGUUUGGAAUCUCAUUAGACAUCUCUGGUAACAGUGAUUCAAUACCAUGAAAUACUCAGGCUGGUGACCGAUGCAAGUCUGGCAACAUCAUAUCAUAGAGUUUGAGGAUUUGAACUGACACAGACUUUUUUUUUUCUAUUGUUUAAGUUAAGUAUAGAUCAUCUUUGAAGAUCCCUCUGUGCACACUUUUGUUUUGAUUUUUCGGUGGAUCCUGAAGGCAAUGGAUCUGUGGUGACUGAGUAGCUGGGCCUCUGUGUAUACUUUUAUGGUUGUUAUACUGAAUGAACGAUAAUAAGAACACAGGGAGAUGUCUGCUAUUACACAAAGGAGAAAUUCAGCAGCUAGUUUCAGCUGAAGGGGGAGUAACUUUCCUAUGUGUCAAGAAAAACCUCCCUCCAAAAAAAAA